rnacentral:tRNA from 1 species
CCCUGCUUAGCUUAGAGGCCCAAAGCGCUUCCCUGUCACGGAAGAGAACGAGGGUUCAAAUCCCUCAGCAGGGGCCA